rnacentral:rRNA from 1 species
AUUGAACGCUGGCGGCAGGCCUAACACAUGCAAGUCGAACGAGUGGCGGACGGGUGAGCAAUGUCUGGGAAACUGCGCGAUGGAGGGGGAUAACUACUGGAAACGGUAGCUACUACCGCAUACCCUCGUAUGUGCCCAGGUGGGAUUAGCGAGUAGGUGGGGUAACGGCACACCUAGGCGACGAUCCCUAGCUGGUCUGAGAGGAUGACCAGCCACACUGGAACUGAGACACGGCCCAGACUCCUACGGGAGGCAGCAGUGGGGAAUAUUGCACAAUGGGCGCAAGCCUGAUGCAGCCAUGCCGCGUGUAUGAAGAAGGCCUUCGGGUUGUAAAGUACUUUCAGCGGGGAGGCGUUACUCGCAGAAGAAGCACCGGCUAACUCCGUGCCAGCAGCCGCGGUAAUUC